CGGGGUGUGGCUCAGCUUGGUAGAGCGCUUGGUUCGGGACUAAGAGGCCGGAGGUUCAAAUCCUCUGGAGGUUCAAAUCCUCUCACUCCGA
rnacentral:tRNA from 1 species